GGGUUGUGAGGUUAAGCGACUAAGCGUACACGGUGGAUGCCCUGGCAGUCAGAGGCGAUGAAGGACGUGCUAAUCUGCGAUAAGCGUCGGUAAGGUGAUAUGAACCGUUAUAACCGGCGAUUUCCGAAUGGGGAAACCCAGUGUGAUUCGUCACACUAUCAUUAACUGAAUCCAUAGGUUAAUGAGGCGAACCGGGGGAACUGAAACAUCUAAGUACCCCGAGGAAAAGAAAUCAACCGAGAUUCCCCCAGUAGCGGCGAGCGAACGGGGAGCAGCCCAGAGCCUGAAUCAGUGUGUGUGUUAGUGGAAGCGUCUGGAAAGGCGCGCGAUACAGGGUGACAGCCCCGUACACAAAAAUGCACAUGCUGUGAGCUCGAUGAGUAGGGCGGGACACGUGGUAUCCUGUCUGAAUAUGGGGGGACCAUCCUCCAAGGCUAAAUACUCCUGACUGACCGAUAGUGAACCAGUACCGUGAGGGAAAGGCGAAAAGAACCCCGGCGAGGGGAGUGAAAAAGAACCUGAAACCGUGUACGUACAAGCAGUGGGAGCACAGAGCAAUCUGUGUGACUGCGUACCUUUUGUAUAAUGGGUCAGCGACUUAUAUUCUGUAGCAAGGUUAACCGAAUAGGGGAGCCGAAGGGAAACCGAGUCUUAACUGGGCGUUAAGUUGCAGGGUAUAGACCCGAAACCCGGUGAUCUAGCCAUGGGCAGGUUGAAGGUUGGGUAACACUAACUGGAGGACCGAACCGACUAAUGUUGAAAAAUUAGCGGAUGACUUGUGGCUGGGGGUGAAAGGCCAAUCAAACCGGGAGAUAGCUGGUUCUCCCCGAAAGCUAUUUAGGUAGCGCCUCGUGAAUUCAUCUCCGGGGGUAGAGCACUGUUUCGGCAAGGGGGUCAUCCCGACUUACCAACCCGAUGCAAACUGCGAAUACCGGAGAAUGUUAUCACGGGAGACACACGGCGGGUGCUAACGUCCGUCGUGAAGAGGGAAACAACCCAGACCGCCAGCUAAGGUCCCAAAGUCAUGGUUAAGUGGGAAACGAUGUGGGAAGGCCCAGACAGCCAGGAUGUUGGCUUAGAAGCAGCCAUCAUUUAAAGAAAGCGUAAUAGCUCACUGGUCGAGUCGGCCUGCGCGGAAGAUGUAACGGGGCUAAACCAUGCACCGAAGCUGCGGCAGCGACGCUUAUGCGUUGUUGGGUAGGGGAGCGUUCUGUAAGCCUGCGAAGGUGUGCUGUGAGGCAUGCUGGAGGUAUCAGAAGUGCGAAUGCUGACAUAAGUAACGAUAAAGCGGGUGAAAAGCCCGCUCGCCGGAAGACCAAGGGUUCCUGUCCAACGUUAAUCGGGGCAGGGUGAGUCGACCCCUAAGGCGAGGCCGAAAGGCGUAGUCGAUGGGAAACAGGUUAAUAUUCCUGUACUUGGUGUUACUGCGAAGGGGGGACGGAGAAGGCUAUGUUGGCCGGGCGACGGUUGUCCCGGUUUAAGCGUGUAGGCUGGUUUUCCAGGCAAAUCCGGAAAAUCAAGGCUGAGGCGUGAUGACGAGGCACUACGGUGCUGAAGCAACAAAUGCCCUGCUUCCAGGAAAAGCCUCUAAGCAUCAGGUAACAUCAAAUCGUACCCCAAACCGACACAGGUGGUCAGGUAGAGAAUACCAAGGCGCUUGAGAGAACUCGGGUGAAGGAACUAGGCAAAAUGGUGCCGUAACUUCGGGAGAAGGCACGCUGAUAUGUAGGUGAAGUCCCUCGCGGAUGGAGCUGAAAUCAGUCGAAGAUACCAGCUGGCUGCAACUGUUUAUUAAAAACACAGCACUGUGCAAACACGAAAGUGGACGUAUACGGUGUGACGCCUGCCCGGUGCCGGAAGGUUAAUUGAUGGGGUUAGCGCAAGCGAAGCUCUUGAUCGAAGCCCCGGUAAACGGCGGCCGUAACUAUAACGGUCCUAAGGUAGCGAAAUUCCUUGUCGGGUAAGUUCCGACCUGCACGAAUGGCGUAAUGAUGGCCAGGCUGUCUCCACCCGAGACUCAGUGAAAUUGAACUCGCUGUGAAGAUGCAGUGUACCCGCGGCAAGACGGAAAGACCCCGUGAACCUUUACUAUAGCUUGACACUGAACAUUGAGCCUUGAUGUGUAGGAUAGGUGGGAGGCUUUGAAGUGUGGACGCCAGUCUGCAUGGAGCCGACCUUGAAAUACCACCCUUUAAUGUUUGAUGUUCUAACGUUGACCCGUAAUCCGGGUUGCGGACAGUGUCUGGUGGGUAGUUUGACUGGGGCGGUCUCCUCCUAAAGAGUAACGGAGGAGCACGAAGGUUGGCUAAUCCUGGUCGGACAUCAGGAGGUUAGUGCAAUGGCAUAAGCCAGCUUGACUGCGAGCGUGACGGCGCGAGCAGGUGCGAAAGCAGGUCAUAGUGAUCCGGUGGUUCUGAAUGGAAGGGCCAUCGCUCAACGGAUAAAAGGUACUCCGGGGAUAACAGGCUGAUACCGCCCAAGAGUUCAUAUCGACGGCGGUGUUUGGCACCUCGAUGUCGGCUCAUCACAUCCUGGGGCUGAAGUAGGUCCCAAGGGUAUGGCUGUUCGCCAUUUAAAGUGGUACGCGAGCUGGGUUUAGAACGUCGUGAGACAGUUCGGUCCCUAUCUGCCGUGGGCGCUGGAGAACUGAGGGGGGCUGCUCCUAGUACGAGAGGACCGGAGUGGACGCAUCACUGGUGUUCGGGUUGUCAUGCCAAUGGCACUGCCCGGUAGCUAAAUGCGGAAGAGAUAAGUGCUGAAAGCAUCUAAGCACGAAACUUGCCCCGAGAUGAGUUCUCCCUGACCCUUUAAGGGUCCUGAAGGAACGUUGAAGACGACGACGUUGAUAGGCCGGGUGUGUAAGCGCAGCGAUGCGUUGAGCUAACCGGUACUAAUGAACCGUGAGGCUUAACCUUACAACGCCGAAGCUGUU
rnacentral:rRNA from 1 species